AUUGAACGCUGGCGGCAUGCCUUACACAUGCAAGUCGAACGGCAGCGGGGGAGAAGCUUGCUUUUCCUGCCGGCGAGUGGCGAACGGGUGAGUAAUACAUCGGAACGUGCCCUGUAGUGGGGGAUAACUAGUCGAAAGAUUAGCUAAUACCGCAUACGACCUGAGGGUGAAAGUGGGGGACCGCAAGGCCUCAUGCUAUAGGAGCGGCCGACGUCUGAUUAGCUAGUUGGUGGGGUAAAGGCCUACCAAGGCGACGAUCAGUAGCUGGUCUGAGAGGACGAUCAGCCACACUGGGACUGAGACACGGCUCAGACUCCUACGGGAGGCAGCAGUGGGGAAUUUUGGACAAUGGGCGAAAGCCUGAUCCAGCAAUGCCGCGUGUGUGAAGAAGGCCUUCGGGUUGUAAAGCACUUUUGUCCGGAAAGAAAUGGCUCUGGUUAAUACCUGGGGUCGAUGACGGUACCGGAAGAAUAAGGACCGGCUAACUACGUGCCAGCAGCCGCAGUAA
rnacentral:rRNA from 1 species